rnacentral:lncRNA from 1 species
AAAACACAGAAGCUUCAUUAAUCAAAGCUGAUUCUCCAGAAAUUGCAGUUGCUUUUAUUCAGCAACAGGUUUGGGAGACACCCAUUACUCACCCAGUCUUCUGACAGGUGGCUUCUUGGAGCUAACUGGCCGAUGAUUUGGAAAAGCCACCCUAUUCACUCUUAAGGUAGAAAUUCAUCCUACCAUGUUGGAAACACAUGCCUCACUCUGCAACUAGAGGUUCUAGCCUUCUCUAGAGGGUGGCUUGGAGGAAACAUUGCUCACCGUACAAUGAAGAAGAGGUAACUUGGAUCUAGAAAGGUGUUUCAAAAAUUGUGGUGUAUUUGUUUUCUAUGGCCACUGUAAAAAGUACCACAAACAGGGUGACUUAAACCACAGAAAUUUAUUGUUACAGUUGUGCAGGCUAGAACUCUGAAAUCAAGCUGUAAACUAGGGAGGAAGGGCUUGUUCCAGCUAUGGAGAGACUGGAAUACACUCUCCCU